CAACAGUCGGAGGCACGCGGGGAGCGCAGAGUCAAUACAGAGCUAACCUCCACACACCGUUAAAGAUCAAGAGCUGCAGUCCAACACGGCCCCAGCAACUUACAAACUCAACUGCCUUUCAUUUGCUGUUAAAGAUGCAAUCAAGGAAAAGAACCACUCGUUGACUCAGCACAGCAGCUAACAUGGCCGACACCAACGCUGCGGCAUCGGGCCCAAGUCUCAUGACCGUGAGACUGUAUCGCCCAACCACCAAUUACCAAGAGUGCAUCUUACCCCACCUGAACUGAACCAGGAUCAAAAAGAGCAGUGGAGGAAGACGUGCAGUGGACAUGGGGAGGCGGGACAUUGUUGCAAAACCUCCUUUUCUGACAAUUGGACUUUUCGUUUGGGGUCGUGAAGUCCGAAACACAGCUAUCCACUCGAGCUGGAAGGCCACUGUGGCACAACUCUUUUAUCCAUUCUGU
rnacentral:lncRNA from 1 species